rnacentral:rRNA from 1 species
AAGGUCUUAUCUGCCCGGUGAAUAUUUUUAACGGCCGCAGUACCUUGACUGUGCUAAGGUAGCAUAAUAAAUUGACUUUUAAUUGAGGCCUGGAAUAAAUGAAUAUACGUAAUAGUAGCUGUCUCUUUAAUAUAUUUAAAAGUUACUUAAGAAAUGAAAAUUUUUCUUUAAAUUUAAUAGACGAGAAGACCCUAGGAGUUUAUAAUAAUCAAUAUAUUUUGUUGGGGCGACAGUUUAAGAGUAAUAUAAACUUAAAUUAAAAUUUUGUUAUUUUUCGAUUUUUUUAGUUAAAAUUAAGCUACCCUAGGGAUAACAGCACUAUCUUUAUAAGGUUUGUGACCUCGAUGUUGGAUUAGGAACUUUAAAUAUUAACCGUAUUUAAAGGUUGUUCUGUUCGAACAUUUAUUACCUACAUGAUCUGAGUUCAAACCGGAGCUCCC